rnacentral:rRNA from 1 species
UACGUAGGGCGCAAGCGUUGUCCGGAAUUAUUGGGCGUAAAGAGCUCGUAGGCGGUUUGUCGCGUCUGCUGUGAAAUCCCGUGGCUCAACCAUGUGGUCUGCAGUCGAUACGGGCAGGCUAGAAUUCGGUAGGGGAGACUGGAAUUCCUGGUGUAGCGGUGAAAUGCGCAGAUAUCAGGAGGAACACCGGUGGCGAAGGCGGGUCUCUGGGACGGUACUGACGCUGAGACGCGAAAGCGUGGGGAGCGAACAGG